GAGUUCUAAACAGAGUUCUUGUUUUAUCUCAAUAUUUGCUAGAGUUAUUCUAGUUGUGAAUUUUGUGUGUUUGUGUUGAUCAUUGUUUUUCAAGUUUUUUAUUGUUAUAAAGUUAUAGUUGUGAUGAUGAACUAUGUAGGCAAUGUUCUCCACAUAUGAAUGACUAAACUGUGUUAGUAAUGUGAUUGAUAUAGUUUGUGGUGUUCCUUGAUGUGUCACUGAGAUUUAUUAUUUGUUUGUCUUUUUAAUUUGUUUCUUGUAUUGUUGAUAGUACAUAAAUUAUAUUGAGGUUGUUGAGAUUACCUUUUGUGUCUGGAUAUUUUUUUUCUAGUUUAGUUGUGUAAGUUGUGUGUAUUAAGUAAAUUUUUAUUAUCCUUAUUAUGUUUGUUAUAUAUAUAUAUUUUUUUUUUAAUCUUGUUUCUUUUACUGAACCUUUAAAACAAACUAGAGCUUGACCCGCGCACCCGCGCAGGUGUUAUUUUUUUUAUAAGUAAAUAUUUAUUUGUAUAAGUGAUAAUAUAUAUUUUAAAAUUUAUUUUUUAAUAUGAAAUUUCUAAACACAAUAAUUUUAUAGUUUAUAUUGAGUAGUUUUAUUUUAUCAUGUAAACCCUUAGUUAUAUCAUCCAUUUAUUUAU
rnacentral:lncRNA from 1 species